AUACUUACAUAUCAGGGGAGAAAACAUGAUUAUGAAGUUAGUUUCCCCGGGGAAGACUUAUCCAUUGCACUCCGGAUGUACUUAACCCUGCAAUUUCCCCAAAUGUGGGAAACUGGAUGGCAGAAUUUGUGGCAGAGGUGGACUGUGUUUGCAAUCUCCCCUA